rnacentral:rRNA from 1 species
AUUGAACGCUGGCGGCAGGCCUAACACAUGCAAGUCGAACGGGUGGAGGAUGGGUGGGUAAUUUCUUGGAAACUGCUUGACCGACGGGUCUAACUGCUGGAAACGGUUGAUACUAUUGCAUACUAUCGGAUCUGCCCACGCGGGAUUAGCUAGUAGGUGGGGUAAAGGCUCACCUAGGCGACGAUCCAUAGCUGGUCUGAGAGGAUGACCGGCCACACUGGAACUGAGACACGGGCCAGACUCCUACGGGAGGCAGCAGUGGGGAAUAUUGCACAAUGGGCGCAAGCCUGAUACAGCCAUGCCGCGUGUAUGAAGAAGGCCUUCGGGUUGUAAAGUACUGUCAGCGGGGAGGCGUUACCCGCAGAAGAAGCACCGGCUAACUCCGUGCCAGCAGCCGCGGUAAUAC